UACAGAGGGGGCAAGCGUUGUUCGGAAUUACUGGGCGUAAAGGGCGCGUAGGCGGCCCGCUAAGUCGAACGUGAAAUCCCCGAGCUCAACUCGGGAACUGCGUCUGAGACUGGAAGGCUUGAAUUCGGGAGAGGGAUGUGGAAUUCCAGGUGUAGCGGUGAAAUGCGUAGAUAUCUGGAGGAACACCGGUGGCGAAGGCGGCAUCCUGGACCGAUAUUGACGCUGAUGCGCGAAAGCCAGGGGAGCAAACGGG
rnacentral:rRNA from 1 species